UCUGUUGCAGAGGCUGGAAACUGUGAUUGCAGAAAGAUCUCAGGGCAGACAGGCAUUAACCUCUAGGGUGUUACUGGUUAGUAAUGUCCCACAUCCGGCAAGAGAGAAAAAACAUCAGGAAUAAAAUCCAGUAACCCUGUCAGAGAAAACAGAAGAAACCAAUACAAAACAUUUCAAGAUGAAUGGUUUUGUGUCCUGUCUAAGAAGCCAGAAAGUCUAUGCAUCCCAUCUGAGAAGCUAUUGGUCUUCUCAUCAGCCAGCCUGGGCAUCUAUUCAAAUGUAGGGACAAUUUUCCAAUAUGAUUACAACAAUGAAGAGGUUACUCUGCCUUACUCACUGAUUGCAAGUUCAAAACUGCUGGACUUCCACUGGGUCUUAGCUCUGUUAAAAAAAUGGUAUUUAUUUACCAGAGUGCCUUUGGAUGUAAGAGCUGCCUGUGGAAAUUACUUCCUCCUUCGAGUCUUGCCUUUUCUCAGUGUCCUGCAUUUAGUGAAACUGGAGAUCUCUGUGUGACUGUCCCAGGACAUUUCUCACUCUCCAUCAGACCUUUUUCACACCAACACCGUAUUUUCUGAAUACUUCCAUCUGGUUUUGGUUGAAGUUUAGGCAAAGCUUUCUAAUCUGGAUUAUAUAUGUAUUUCCUUGACUGUACUGUAAAUGCUUAUCUGAGCUGGACAGGAAGAACUUGUUCUGUUGUUUGGUCUCGGGAUAUUACUGAAGACUCAUUCAAGUAGCAGAGAAGCUUUCAUGAGGCUGGGGAAGGAAUGUGUCGUUUUGUGUUUCUGCUCACCUGCCUGGAUCUGCCAAAGCCAAGUGCUGUCCAUUCACAAGAGAAAUUCUAUCAUGAAUGUCUGCUGUUAGGACUGGCAGUGAGUCAGAAAUGCCCAACUGCCCAAUGACUUUCCCCACAAGAAAAAGGUAAAUUUGCACUUGAAAUUUGCAAUCACGUGUUAAGUCCCCAACUUUAUUUGCUCAGAGGGGCCAUUAACAUUUAGCUUUGUGUUAGGAAAUACCCUUUACCAAUAAAUUUCGAUGGGAAAAGCAAAGACUUGGGUUUGUUCCAAAAGAUUCAUUCAUGAAAAAUUCUGCUGAAUGAAAAAGGAAAUCUACAAUUUUUUUAAAGAAUUCCUCUAUCUGGUAUGAAUGUUUUAGUCUAGGCUAACUGUGCAUUUUACAGAUAGUUCAACUCAAUUUUAAUUCAACUGAUGUAACACUAUAAUAAAUAAUGUAAGAAUUAGUGGCAUGUCUUUAAUGUUCCUGCCUGCAUAACGUAUGUGUGUUCUCUGCAGAAAUAAAGCCUGCUGUUAUUUCAUGUUGAAGGUGAAGUAUGUCCAUCAAUGUCUUUCCCAGGGGAAUAGAGAGAACAAGGCUUGGGAGAAGGUGGUUUGGCACACACGCUCCUCAUGAGGAACAAACUUGCACAGCAGCUUGUCUUUAACUCUUCCCAAGCAGUGGAGCGUGUCAUUGCUUUUGCAAUAAACCAUUCCUCAGGAACAGAUAUGGACUGGCUGAAAAAUAAUUAAAAACUUAAUUUCCUGUAAUACUGUCCAUCAAACAAUUUUACUCAAUCUUUUUGAAAGGCUGCUCUGCAGCAUGGAAAAAAAGACUGGCAGUAGUGCAAGAACAGGGAAUAUAUAUGACCAGUGGAAGAAGCAUGGUUGGCCUUUUGCCCUAGAGAAAUUGAUGGAUGAGUGGAUCUUCUGCUUUAACCAAGCAUUAAUAAAAUAAUUUGGAUUUGGGCUUGAGGUGAUGAUGUUUGCCAAAGUGGCUACAAAGGCUUUUUUUUACUGCCCAGACUGACACUGACCUGCAUGGAUGUGCUUAGGGUCUGUUGUGUGCAAACCCACAGCUGCAGAGUUGAUCAGUCCUCUCUUUUGGAAAAACCUGAUUUUUUACUGAGGUAUAAAAUUUGUAGAUUAGGCCUUUUACAAAGAUUUGGCCCCAAUAGCAGAACCCUGUGUGAUUUGUCUCCUGCAGUUUUACAGUUUGUGGUGUAGUACCUCAAGAAAGGCAAACAAAGCUUUAUCCUCCUCUGGACAGCUGUUAGGGACAGAUCCACUGACUCGACUGCUCAAGAGAACAACCCCCAAAACUGGGUAUUUUAUUCCAAACUAACACACAUAAAACUUCC